GAUGAACGCUGGCGGCGUGCCUAAUACAUGCAAGUCGAGCGAACGGACGAGAAGCUUGCUUUUCUGAUGUUAGCGGCGGACGGGUGAGUAACACGUGGAUAACCUACCUAUAAGACUGGGAUAACUUCGUGAAACCGCAGCUAAUACCGGAUAAUAUUUUGAACCGCAUGGUUCAAAAGUGAAAGACGGUCUUGCUGUCACUUAUAGAUGGAUCCGCGCUGCAUUAUCUAGUUGGUAAGGUAACGGCUUACCAAGGCAACGAUGCGUAGCGGACCUGAGAGGGUGAGCAGCCACACUGGAACUGAGACACGGUCCAGACUCCUACGGGAGGCAGCAGUAGGGAAUCUUCCACAAUGGGCGCAAGCCUGACCGAGCAACGCCGCGUGAGUGAUGAAGGUCUUCGGAUCGUAAAACUCUGUUAUUAGGGAAGAAAAUAUGUGUAAGUAACUGUGCACAUCUUGACGGUACCUAAUCAGAAAGCCCCGGCUAACUACGUG
rnacentral:rRNA from 1 species